CUAAAGCCCUGUCUUAGAGUAGCAGCAGAUAAGGAGACAGAAAAACUGUACAGGAGGUGAGAGAAAACUGGCAGGAGAGCUAGGGGGAUAUUGACAAAAGAGGAGCCCUUUAAAUCUUCCAGGGGUAGAAAAAAUGAAAUUCUUUGAUGUUACUCAAUAGUUUACCUGCUCGGAAGGAGGAAAAGUGUCUCUUCCAUCUCAGAGUUGGCUCAGCAUCCAUCCUGCUGGAUUCUGCAGAUCCUGCUGGCCAGAUGCCACAGUGUGGUCAGCUGAAAGUGAUUUGCUCAUCCUGAAAACAGCAGGUAUAGAAAGCGCUCUUUCAGCGCCAUGGCAACCAGAUCGUGUUUUUCUAAAAAAGGAUCAGAUCAGCGGGUGUGUCCCUCCAGGCCGGGCCUCUGCUGCCUCUGCUGUCACCAAGGUCAACCACAACCUAGUGCCCAAGCCAGUGGCAUUUUCCAGCCUACUUUUACUCAUCCCUUCUUUUAGAAAAUGCUGCCUUGACAGUCUGAUUUUCAUGGUAUCAUGAUCCGCUAUCUCCUGAUGUGUCCUCUGUACAUCCAGCUGCUCUUUCUCACUCUCUUAUUUGUGCUCUCACUUCCUUAAAUUUUAACCUUCUUCUCGUGCUGCACUUUCUCCAGGUAUAUGAGAAACCUCUCCAUUUUUCACUUUCAUCUGUAUUGCUCUUUGCCUGUUGGCCUCAAUUUCUCCCACCACAAGAUGAGCCCCUAAACGUAUCUAAGAAUGUGGCCUCAAGAACCCCAGUGUGGCAAUCCCAGUGAAAAGCCUUUUCCCAGUACUCAUCUUUCCAUCCUGGGGAAGGCAUGGGAUUGCUUUUGGUUGGUUGUGUACCUACCCUGGCACACAGCACUAUUAUCAGAGUGAUGGGCCAAUACAAUAUAUGGUGAGGGAAAUGAGGUUCCAUGAUUGGCCCCAUCAGUCACAAGGAUGGAAAGGCAGUUUCCUAAGACAGAUGUAUCAGAGCCCACCCCUUUGGCUACUCAGUUUCCAUAUGCACCCUCCUACACAUACCUGAACUUCUAUAUGACAACGAACAAAAUACAGCUAUCCUUCUUACCAGGGAAAAUAUUCCUACCCUUUCUCCCAAAUGAGAAGAUACUCGUGCCAACAACAAUUUUAUCUAUCUCUGGCUAUAUUCAUUACUCGAAUUUGAUCACAGUCCCUCUAAAUAUUCUGUUACCAAAAGACCAAAUUGUAAAGCUAACCUCCAACAACUUGUAUAUAAACUGAUAAAGGGAAGAAGGAGAGAGAGAUAAAAUGGAUGGCAUUUUCCCAUCACCCAUCUAUCAGUGGGAAAGAACUCUGGGGAAGUGCUCUUGAGGAAGUAUCUUUGGGAAGAAUCCCUGAUUGGCCCUACUUGGGUCAUGUGUGUUGGAAUCUGUGUGUCACAAAAAUCCACCACAAGGCCUGACAGAUCCUUGGCCAAAUUCA
rnacentral:lncRNA from 1 species